AUGGAGAAUUGGAAACCUCCCAAAUCAUCUUCCACUCCUUCCUUCAACGGUAUUCUCUGGCCUUCUGUAGGGGAAUUUGUAACAGUGGCCAUAUUGGGAAAACUGGAUCAACUAUUGACACCAAAAGGACUUUCAAGUUUCAAUCACAAUUGCACCAUUAGGAGUAGUUUCUGCAUUCUUAUUUGCUACACCCUUGGCCCCUUCUGCACGGAUACGUCUAUUACUACUAUCUCCUUUCGGGUUUAA